rnacentral:rRNA from 1 species
UACGUAGGGUGCAAGCGUUAAUCGGAAUUACUGGGCGUAAAGCGUGCGCAGGCGGUUUUGUAAGUUUGUCGUGAAAUCCCCGGGCUUAACCUGGGAAUUGCGAUGAAGACUGCAAGGCUAGAAUCUGGCAGAGGGGGGUAGAAUUCCACGUGUAGCAGUGAAAUGCGUAGAGAUGUGGAGGAACACAGAUGGCGAAGGCAGCCCCCUGGGUCAAGAUUGACGCUCAUGCACGAAAGCGUGGGGAGCAAACAGG